AUGCGGAGACCGGCGGCGGCCCGGGGCGUAGGGCGCCGUUCCCCUCCUCACCCUGCCUGCGGCGGCGUACGGCUCGCCGCCCGCCCGCCCACCUCGAGGCGCCGACAGAGAUUCGCAGCUCGGCGCCAUCGCCCUCCGCCUGUCCGCAGCCCCGUACGGAGCGCUCGGCUGGCCGCUCUCCGUCGCCCCGGAAGCCCUGAGUGCCGGGCCCCAAGUGGCCCGCGAGGCCGGUGCCCAGGUGCCUCCCCGACUCCGCCGAGCCGAGCGGCGGCCGAUCCCCCUGAGAGCCGGGUUGCGGCUGCCUCCCCGGCCAUCUUGUGCGGUGUGUGCGAGAGAGCGUCUGUCUCUCCUGUCUUCCCUCAACUCCUUCCUCCCCUCCCCCCGCACAACAUGGCCGCCGGAGUCAGUACUCACUGCGGCGGGGAAGGGGCUGGGCCUGCGCUUCUACCCCCUGCCUACCGCUCAUUCCUCCCCCCCACCCUUCCUGCCUUCUGCGCGUGCGCCAACCACUGCUCUCCGCUGGCCCCGAUGCUCCCGGCCCAGCGCGCGCCGCUACCAUUGGCUGCGCCCCUCCCUCCUUCCUCCUCCCAUCCCGGGCCCGCGCGCAACUCAGCCGCCGCUUCCUAUUGGCCGCCGCUUCUCACCGGUCUUUCCACCCUACCCGCCCCACCGCAACCUCAACGGUCGCAGCCCAGUAUGGUGAGCGCGAGCCGCGUCUGCCGCUCCCUAUUGGCUCCGCUCCUUCUCUCCCUCCUCCUCCUCCUCCUCCCCCCCCGUCGCCCGCGGCCUCGCGCGAGUCCUGUGCCCUGCUUCGAAUCCAUACAUAGGCUCUGCUGGGGGGGGGGGGGGGAGGGGGAAGCAUGUGAGCCGUUGCGGUGCUUCCACAGCCUGGGAAAUGUCCCAAAAUCUGGGCAUUUUUGAGUGAAAUGCUUCAAAUUGGGAAUUGUCGUUCGAAACCUAAAUAAUCCAUGGGAACAGUUCACAAAACGCAAAAGACUUUCCCAACCUCAAAAAUCCUGGGAAGUUGUCUUAAAAAGUAAUAAGUAAAAUAUUUGUGCUUCUUUUAAAUUUCCCUCAAAAGGUGUUCAGUUGGGCUGGUGGAUAUUGGUCAUGUGAUUUUCAUAAGCGGGCUGUGCUGCUCUCCUAUUGGUGGGGCUGCAACGUACUGGCUCGUGAGGGCACAAGUGAGGUGACAAGUGUGCACACAUGUACUCACAACAAACCAGCCUCAGCAACAGCCGGCUGGCGGCUAAUGGGGGGAUGGUUAUCAAAUGUAUCUUCUAGUUGCACAGAGAAUGUGGACCAGAGCGUUCGGCUGUUCCUAAACUUGUAACAGCACCUUCCUCCCGGCAAAUAUUAAAUAUCUUCGCCGACUGUGUUAGAUAUUUCUUUCCAUUUUUUAUCUACAUAAGAAAUAAAUAAAGAGACAGGUAAGGCUGGUGAGAAGAUGAAGGACUGCAGGAGUAGACAAAGAUCCGUCCACGUCAAAAUGAAAACAACGGGAUAGCACCUCCGACAGAGUAUUGAAGACUCGGGGUGAACUGCCACCAAAAGAGAAGCCAUCUACUUU